rnacentral:rRNA from 1 species
UGGGGAAUAUUGCACAAUGGGCGCAAGCCUGAUGCAGCCAUGCCGCGUGUAUGAAGAAGGCCUUCGGGUUGUAAAGUACUUUCAGCGGGGAGGAAGGGAGUAAAGUUAAUACCUUUGCUCAUUGACGUUACCCGCAGAAGAAGCACCGGCUAACUCCGUGCCAGCAGCCGCGGUAAUACGGAGGGUGCAAGCGUUAAUCGGAAUUACUGGGCGUAAAGCGCACGCAGGCGGUCUGUCAAGUCGGAUGUGAAAUCCCCGGGCUCAACCUGGGAACUGGAUUCGAAACUGGCAGGCUAGAGUCUUGUAGAGGGGGGUAGAAUUCCAGGUGUAGCGGUGAAAUGCGUAGAGAUCUGGAGGAAUACCGGUGGCGAAGGCGGCCCCCUGGACAAAGACUGACGCUCAGGUGCGAAAGCGUGGGGAGCAAACAGG